rnacentral:rRNA from 1 species
GAUGAACGCUGGCGGCGUGCCUAAUACAUGCAAGUCGAGCGAACGGACGAGAAGCUUGCUUUUCUGAUGUUAGCGGCGGACGGGUGAGUAACACGUGGAUAACCUACCUAUAAGACUGGGAUAACUUCGGGAAACCGGAGCUAAUACCGGAUAAUAUUUUGAACCGCAUGGUUCAAAAGUGAAAGACGGUCUUGCUGUCACUUAUAGAUGGAUCCGCGCUGCAUUAGCUAGUUGGUAAGGUAACGACUUACCAAGGCAACGAUGCAUAGCCGACCUGAGAGGGUGAUCGGCCACACUGGAACUGAGACACGGUCCAGACUCCUACGGGAGGCAGCAGUAAGGAAUCUUCCGCAAUGGGCGAAAGCCUGACGGAGCAACGCCGCGUGAGUGAUGAAGGUCUUCGGAUCGUAAAACUCUGUUAUUAGGGAAGAACAUAUGUGUAAGUAACUGUGCACAUCUUGACGGUACCUAAUCAGAAAGCCACGGCUAACUACGUG